GCCAGGGAGGGGAGAUGUGGCUCCCCUCAACCCAGCUGGCAGUCUCCCCCUCUUCCCCCACCUCUCCGAGGUGGGUCUGAUGAUUCCGGUCUCCAACAGAACAGGAACA